CAGUAAUUUUGGAUUUGUUCCUCUAACUCAUGUCUGUCUCUCUAUCAGCCCUGUGACACAUUGGUGACCUGUCCAGGGUGAACCUGCCUGUGCCUGCUGGGAUAGGCUCCAGCCCUCCACCCACACCCUGACAAUCACAUGUGGACAGACUAACUUCUUUUUUAGAUUGUUCUAGAAAGUCUGUUGCAAUGUGUUAAGCAAUGUAUUCAUAUUUAAUUUUAAAAAAGAAUCAAUGAUUUUCUAUAAAUUUGUGAUGCGUUUUUGAUUACUGAUUCCAAGAUGGCGUAGUGGUCUUUAGAGAAAUCCUGUUUGGAUUUUUAAAUGUUAUUUCUGUUUUCUGUUGCUAGCGCAGCUCUGCAGUCACUAUCCAGGUGGGUCAGUGGGAGCAGAAGCCCUCUGCUGAUGUACAGGCUCUGAUCAGCAACAUCCAGCAAGACCCACACAGCCUCUUCCUGCUGGAGCUUUUUGCUUGCCUGUGACUGGAGAGUCAGAUUUCUAUUCGGGGGUUGCAGCUUUCCUGUGCUGGAGAAACCACUUCACACCUGCAGAAGUCAGUCAGUUUGCAGAGGUCAUUAAAACCCUCCCACCCUGGCUUUCAUGUGGUGGAUCUUAUUAAACAAAACAGCAAUAUUUCAGUGGCUGCUGCUUAUACCACAGGUUUACACUCUACAGAUCUCUGAUGGGCUCCUUCAACAAAGAUGUUUAGUAGAUGUUUGUCUCCAGUUUGAUGCUCAGCAUCUCCAAAGUUUGUUUCUUGUUUAUUAUACAUUCAUACAAAGUAAUGUGAUAUCUAGUAAUAGUAUAACUGUGUCAACCUGGUGCUCUUCAUUUAUGAAGAAUUAAUAUUGGAGUAUGAAUGUUGGACCCUGUGUAUCUGUGUUCUCUGGGCUUUUCUGACCUUGGUCGUUUUGCAGGGUCAGACAACAAACCUCGUAUUACUGUACAUGUUUCUUUCUCAGGUGGACCGUGAUAUGAUGGUGACCCGGGCUGCCACCUUUCCUCUUGUGAGGAAGCAAAGCUCAGAAAGAAGGAAUCCCUGCAGUCCUGUCCUUUUAGCUCCAAGCCUGCUCAGCUUUAAUCACAGAGGAAGCAGCAGAGCAGCAGACAGUUUGAGAGGUUUGGGCUCACAGAUGGUGACAGCAUGGACAGACUGUGGUCCUUCCCCUGAAGAACUGCAGGAGUCACAGAGGAGAUGACUCCAUCUCACUGUCUGGACUUGCUGACUGAUGUUCUUCUGCACUGCAGAUGCUGAGUAUGACCUCAGAGGUCAGCUGGUCUGCAGAGUUACAAGUGAAUGAAGGCAGAGGUCAGUCUGCCUGCAGCUUCAAAGAAAACAUGCAGGUGAAGACUCAGAUGGGCAGGAUCUCAGCAUCAGACUGUCCAAACAGGCUCCAGCUUCAACAGCAGACUGAGACAGACAACAAAAGAAAACAGCAGCUUCAGUGGGCUCCACAGGUCAAAGGUGACGUUUUAAAGAGUCUUCAGAGAGAAGGGACUGAUGUCAUGUAUCGAUCACGAUUAUGAAGAUGACAGCGAGAGCAGCUACGACUGUAAAAGUCUGACCACGACUGUUUUGCACUUGUUUUACAAACAAAAUUCAACAAACUGAGUUUAACUGAAAAAACUGCAUUUUUACAGGCCACACUCACGGCACAUAAGAAAAGAAUCAUUUAAUCACUGAUGACUCAGUGACUUUAUAAAAGCUUUAAGCAGAGCCAGCUUUGAAUAUUAACACUUACCAUAUUGUACCUGUACAGCGUGUUUAUGUACAUGUAUGAUGCAUGAGAUGUUUUUCAUGUUGAGGUCAUUUCCUGAUUUAUUUUGUAAUCUUUCUUGGUUUUCUCUUCUUUGGAGCUGAUUGUGAGUCAGUGUGUAACCUCACCUGCUUCCCUUUGUUCCACAUGACUUUAAGUUUUUUGAUUUCUGUUUAUUUAAAUUUCUGUUUCAUUUUGAUCUGUGUUGUGUGACCCUUGCAGACUGUUUUGUGGACUGCUUGCCUCGCUGUGUGUACCCACUGCCUGUUUUUGACUAAAGAUUUGGAUUUUUGACUUUUAGCCCAUCUCUGAGUGUUCUUUGAGCCCUCUUCCUCUGAGUGAGGCACAUACACAUGUUUGAAUUCAGUAACUCAGCUUUCCCACUGUUUUCAGCUGUGGUCAGCAGCAGUG